rnacentral:rRNA from 1 species
GUAGGGAAUCUUGCGCAAUGGGCGAAAGCCUGACGCAGCCAUGCCGCGUGAAUGAUGAAGGUCUUAGGAUUGUAAAAUUCUUUCACCGGGGACGAUAAUGACGGUACCCGGAGAAGAAGCUCCGGCUAACUUCGUGCCAGCAGCCGCGGUAAUACGAAGGGGGCUAGCGUUGCUCGGAAUUACUGGGCGUAAAGGGCGCGUAGGCGGACAGCUUAGUCAGAGGUGAAAGCCCAGGGCUCAACCUUGGAAUUGCCUUUGAUACUGGCUGUCUUGAGUUUGGGAGAGGUGAGUGGAACUCCGAGUGUAGAGGUGAAAUUCGUAGAUAUUCGGAAGAACACCAGUGGCGAAGGCGACUCACUGGCCCAAUACUGACGCUGAGGCGCGAAAGCGUGGGGAGCAAACAGGAUUAGAUACCCGUGUAGUCC